AGUGAACGCUGGCGGUAGGCCUAACACAUGCAAGUCGAACGGCAGCACAGUAAGAGCUUGCUCUUACGGGUGGCGAGUGGCGGACGGGUGAGGAAUACAUCGGAAUCUACUUUUUCGUGGGGGAUAACGUAGGGAAACUUACGCUAAUACCGCAUACGACCUACGGGUGAAAGCAGGGGAUCUUCGGACCUUGCGCGAUUGAAUGAGCCGAUGUCGGAUUAGCUAGUUGGCGGGGUAAAGGCCCACCAAGGCGACGAUCCGUAGCUGGUCUGAGAGGAUGAUCAGCCACACUGGAACUGAGACACGGUCCAGACUCCUACGGGAGGCAGCAGUGGGGAAUAUUGGACAAUGGGCGCAAGCCUGAUCCAGCCAUACCGCGUGGGUGAAGAAGGCCUUCGGGUUGUAAAGCCCUUUUGUUGGGAAAGAAAAGCAGCAGGUUAAUACCCCGCUGUUCUGACGGUGCCCAAAGAAUAAGCACCUGCUAACUUCGUG
rnacentral:rRNA from 1 species